UACGUAGGGGGCGAGCGUUGUCCGGAAUCAUUGGGCGUAAAGCGCGUGUAGGCGGCUUGGUAAGUCCGGUGUGAAACCUUGGGGCUCAACCCCAAGCCUGCACUGGAUACUGCCUCGCUUGAGUCCGGGAGGGGAGAGCGGAAUUCCUAGUGUAGCGGUGAAAUGCGCAGAUAUUAGGAAGAACACCGGUGGCGAAGGCGGGUCUCUGGACAGUUCCUGACACUGAGGCACGAAGGCCAGGGGAGCAGACGGG
rnacentral:rRNA from 1 species